rnacentral:rRNA from 1 species
GAUGAACGCUGGCGGCGUGCCUAAUACAUGCAAGUCGAGCGAACAGACGAGGAGCUUGCUCCUCUGACGUUAGCGGCGGACGGGUGAGUAACACGUGGAUAACCUACCUAUAAGACUGGGAUAACUUCGGGAAACCGGAGCUAAUACCGGAUAACAUGUUGAACCGCAUGGUUCAACAGUGAAAGACGGUUUUGCUGUCACUUAUAGAUGGAUCCGCGUCGCAUUAGUUAGUUGGUAAGGUAACGGCUUACCAAGGCAACGAUGCGUAGCCGACCUGAGAGGGUGAUCGGCAACAUUGGAACUGAGACAGGGUCCGGACUCCUACGGGAGGAAGCGGUAGGGAAUCUUCGGAAAUGGGCGAAAGCUUGACGGAGCAACGCGGCGUGAGUGAAGAAGGUCUUCGGAUCGUAAAACUCUGUUAUUAGGGAAGACCAAAUGUGUAAGUAAAUAUGCACGUCUUGACGGUACCUAAUCAGAAAGCCACGGCUAACUACGUG